ACUAGGCGACUCCUGUGACGAUUGGCUCUGUAGACGGCUGUUAUCACCACCUUCGGGUGUGUGCCUAGGCUCUUGCUCGGUGGACAGACGAAAUUUGUUCAGGCUUAAUUUGCGUACCAAUGAGUUCGACUUCUUCUUUUUCUUCUUCAAGGUCGUCGUCGAGCCACCAUUCUUGCAAUCAUCCUCCUCCUCCACCGGGCUCUGCUUGCGAUCCGUCUCUUUUGCCUCGACAUC